GGAAAUCUUCCCCAAAGACGAAGUCAGCCCCAUACAGCUCAAAGCUGCCUUUGCGGGAUUGCACCGUGUCUUGAGAAGUCUGCAGUACAUGGAUAACUGCAGCCUUCAUGCCUGGAACCAUGACAUCUGUCCAAGCAUCAGGUGCCCCUACCUCCUGCAGAGAUCCAGGAGGGGUUGCUCCAGCUCAUUUUACAUAUGAGAAACUGAGGCCUAUGGUCAUAUGGUUCUGACGUUGAACUAUUUACUCAGGUCUUCCUGAUUUCAGGCUCAGUGUUCUAGCCGCCGUGCCACAUAGCUGCCCUGACUGUAAGGUUCUGAGAUGAAAACCAGUGACCCAGUGACUAGUCUAAGAAGGGUAGAGCUGAUAAAGUGUCACAUCUGAUAACAGUUCAGCUGGUCCAUCAUCUUCCCUAUUGUACAGAGGAGGAGACAGACCAAGAGAAGUGAUUUGCCUAAGUUCACACAGUAUGGCUUCACGAUCCAGAUAUUUCUGUCUCCUUCCAUGUCAAUUUGAGGCACCACUGCUCGCAGCUGCUGAAGGAUGUCUUCACAACGCUGGAUC